rnacentral:rRNA from 1 species
AACGAACGCUGGCGGCAGGCUUAACACAUGCAAGUCGAGCGCCCCGCCAGGGGAGCGGCAGCCGGGUGAGUAACGCGUGGGAACGUACCUUUUGGUUCGGAACAACUCCGGGAAACUGGAGCUAAUACCGGAUAAGCCCUAACGGGGAAAGAUUUAUCGCCGAAAGAUCGGCCCGCGUCUGAUUAGCUAGUUGGUGAGGUAACGGCUCACCAAGGCGACGAUCAGUAGCUGGUCUGAGAGGAUGAUCAGCCACACUGGGACUGAGACACGGCCCAGACUCCUACGGGAGGCAGCAGUGGGGAAUAUUGGACAAUGGGCGCAAGCCUGAUCCAGCCAUGCCGCGUGAGUGAUGAAGGCCUUAGGGUUGUAAAGCUCUUUUGUCCGGGAAGAUAAUGACUGUACCGGAAGAAUAAGCCCCGGCUAACUUCGUG